GGUCGCCGUAGUGGCGGUCGGACACGAAGCUCCUUGCUCGACUUUCGAAUUCCCCCCACUCUAGCCCUGAAUUCACCACCUCACCGAGUCCUGGCUGUUCCAUCCCUACGAUGGCGACGCCCAGCGUCGAUCCGUGCGCAUUUCCAUCCCCAACUCCGAGACUCAUCUUAUGGACGUCUGUGUGCUUGUCGAAAGGAGAUUGUUUUGCGAUAAACCAGUGUAUCAACGUAAAAUCCAUAAUGUGCUCAAAAUAUACUCGGCUAACGCAUCGAUAUGGAAAUUACCAGAAUUUCCUGUUCCUUUUACAAUAAGGAGCGACUUUGCUGUCGGCGUUUUUCUUUUCUCAGGAUUGGAGCAGGUAUCAUGGACCGUUGUAGAAUCGCAUAAAAUGGUGCUGAGGAGACGGAAGGGGGAAGACCAAGAGGAAGAAACACGAGGGGAGAAGAAUGGAGCUGGGGAACGACCAGGGGAAUGAGAGGGAAGGGAAAGGUGCCGGCUGGCAAGCAGAUGGUUGCCCCGUUUAUUGGUUUAUUCGUUGGUUCAGCCAUGACGUUCCGUCUAGCUAUGAAACAAGCCGGAGGUUCUCUCUCUGUGUUAGAGAGUAUCAAGUAACGAGACUACAACUACUCUUUCCAUUAAAAAUGCAUCCAAGAGCUACUUGUUCGCGCAGCAUUGGCAAGAAUAUAAAAGCAGAUUUGGUGGCGACGUGCGAACGUGCAGGAACAUAUAGAUGAAAUCCAGUAAUGGCGUCCUAGGGGCGGACGAAAUACUCGGGUCGAUAGAAGGAAGGCUACCUACGGAGCUCGAAUACUCUCUCAUCUUAUUGCCGACAAUCACCCCCACCAACAGUUCUUGAGCAGUUUAUCGUUAAAAAUCUAAUCGACAAUUCCCAGAUAAUUGUAUGCAAACGAUCUGCACGCUCGCGUCAUGACCAAGUAACCUGGAAAUGAAAGGUACGUCGACACACGUACAGGAAUAAAAGGAGCUGUACCGCUAAGAAGACGAAGAAGAAGAAGAAGAAAACCAAGGAGAACGCGACCUUGCUACAUUCAGCUGUGUCAUCCUCAAGCCGUUAACGCUCAGGUGGUUUCGAUCCCAGGGACGAGCAUCAAUCAUCAUCGGUAGUGCAGGUGUAAUGUGAUCAUUGUCACUGAGAUAACCCAGUACGAUAUUCAUUUAUGAAGUGUGUUAAGUGACAUAACAGAGUUUAUCUGUAACAGCGUAUCUAAAUACUUUGUGAAAGAAGCGACUUCAAUAUUAGUUCCUCGAUAACAUGCAAUUUGUUGGGGCAGAUCGUUGUCGGACCAAAGCCACAUUACGAAACAAUCGUUCAUUCAUAUUUAACGAAAAUGGAAAGGAUCUGUAGUAUCAAAGUAUAGUAACAGAGAAAUGCUAAUUUAAAACUUAAAGUUGCGCGUAUGCAAAUACAUAAAGUAAGGAAAAGUGAAAAAUAGCAAAUUUUUUCCGAUUUAUCGAAGAAGAUCUAAAAUAGAAUUGAAAUAUUUAACACGCUUGUUUAUAUAGUUAUGUAAUUAUUUAAUUUGCGUGUGAAUAUAAUGAAAUACGUUAAUACAAUGAAAUACGUAAAUAUGAUUUCUCUAUAAUUCUUUAUAAAGUUUUCCUUCUUGCAGGAAGCAACGUAAAUUGCGAUUAAAUGGCGAUGAAAAUUAUUAUCGCGCUUAUAUAGAAACGAAACACAAAAGUUCAACAAAAACAGAUCCUGCCCUGCUUUCUUGAGAAGUGACUCGGCAUACCUAAGCUAUUUCCGUAUGACCAUGCACUUCGUAAGCUCGCGAGCAUGCUAAUUUGAAAUUACAUUCUAUAGCUUCAACGAUAUUUAUUUCACGAAAGGCAAAUACAGCUAACACGCCAUAAAUUAUUAAAUAAAAGAUAAAAAUAUGUAAAUUUGCUUAAGUGAUUCUGUUAUCACCGAUAAAAUGUGUAAUGUAUUUCAAAUAGAAUUUAAUUUGAUAUAAUAAUGAAUGAUAUGCGUGAUAAUCGAUAAUGAGACCAAAUAAAGUUACAUCAACAUAUUUACGUUGUUUUAGAAUAUAGGAGAAAUUAGUAUUAAUAGAGGGAAAUAUUUUCAGAUUCCUAAAUGUGGUACCUGUGAGAAGUUUACCGAAGAUCACGUACUGGGCGGACAAAGAAGUUAAGACCGGCACGUAUAUAUGUGUGUAUGUGCAUACACAUGCACUCCAAGUACUUUUAAAUAGAUAAGAAAAUUAACGAUAAUCAAACUAUGUGCCGUAACAAGAAAGCCCAGUUAAUGCUCUACAUCUACCCUGUAGAUCCGAAUUUGUUUGAUAAGAGGCGACAAAUUCGGUUCUAGAGAGGUUUGUGUGGUGCAUACAGAGCAACGGUGAUCUUUGAAUAAGUGUAAUCAAAUACAUAUUACAUAUAAUGUAUACAGUAAAUGAUAUAUGCAUAUAUAACAUGUGAUAAUUUACAGCUAUAAAGUUAGAACGUAUAUAUAAAUCAGUUAAGACUUAACAAGACAAAAUAUAGACAUAAGAGACACACGUCUUAUACAAAUUCAAAUAUCGCACAAAUUUGUGUAAUUUGAAUUUUAUAUAUUAAGUAUUAGGUGCAUCUGCAAAAAUUUAGUAUUUAGUACUUAAUAUUUUGUAAUCGAAGUGUUUUCUUCACUCUUUUAUGGUUUUAAAUUGUUGUGAUUUGUGAGAAACAUACUCUCAUUAUUAUUUCGAAAAGAGAUGUAACAGAAAUUAACAUAAUCACAAGAAACAAAGGAGAACAUUUUUAAUUGAACUUAAAAAUUUAAUUUUUUUGCAUAAAAUUUAACUAUUAGAUUCAAAAUAAACGCGCGGAAAAAAUUUUUGUACAUAUAUUAUAUUAUAUAAUAAUAUACUAAGCGCAUCUGUAAUAUCCGCUUAUUAAAUCUAGAGUCACUGUUAAUCUUACUAACAUUAGUCACACGUAAAGCUAUCAUAGAUUAUGCCGCUUCCUCGAAUAAUCCAUAUUUAUGAGUCACGAAUAUACAAGGCAAGAUAUAUAAAAUUAAAAAUUUUCCAAUGACCCUAAAUCUCUAACAAAUGAAUAAGCAUUAUUGGUGCUUAGUGUACAAUUGGAAAUGUCGUUAGGACAUUUUUGAAUUCGAUUAUGCAUAUGAUAGAAGAGUUAUUAAUAGCAACAAAAAAAUUAUAAAUGUAAAAAAAAACUAAUGGACGUCAUUACGCCCAUGGACUUGGUUGCAUUGGUAUAUCGUCGAUGAUGAACUGCUACGUCUAGCGUGACCUGUUGCACAUAAGUUCACUCACACAUCGCAUUAAAUUGCACAUUCUCCUCGUAGUUUAUACAGGUUAAUUCAAAUUUUAUUUGCACAAUUGAAAGUACAGUAUAGAAUAAAACAUUUGUGAAACAUAUUAGACUCAAUUACUAAGUUUAAGUGCAUAUAGCUUGUUUUAUUAGAAAAAUAUUUCAUAUUAUCUCACAAAAUUCUCUUGAUGAUUUUUUUAACAAAUUUAACAUCAAAACGUUUAGUAAACUGAUAUCAAGUAUCUUCUAAGCAAAAUUAUUCGCACUUAUUAUUUACAUUUUUUGUUUAUUUAUUAUUUAUAUUUAUAUAUUUUAUAUUUUCUUUUUUAAAUUUUUUGUAUAACUUUGAGUCAAUGAUAUAAUUUAUAGAAUUAUUCAUAUAAUAUACACAACAAAUAUAUGAUAUGUAUGUAUGUGUGUGUGUGUGUGUGUGUGUAUUCCUACGGAAUUUUAUACAUGUAGAGUAAAAUCUAUGUGUGAUGAAUAAUUAUGUAAUAAUUUAUAUUUAAAUUAGUUUAUUAUUUUCAAAAACUUAUUUUUAAGGCAAAAAUAGUGUGAAUGUGUGCAUAUAAUUAUAUUAUUAUAUAAUUUCAACUAAUUUUGUAACUAUGUUACAUUCUCUGUGCUGAAUAUUUCUUAAACACUUGUGAAUAUUUCAAUUUGAAGAGAACGGUGUGUCUUGUUCAUAUUCCACUGUAUACUAUAUUUUUAAUAUCUUAGUUUUUUAUUACGAGCCUUCAUUAAAUGUACGUCUGUUACUAGCGAAUAUGUGAUUUCUUGAAUCUUUCUGUAACGACUGAAGCAAAUCCAUUAAUCUCUGAUCGUGUUCAUAUUAAAAUGACAUACCAGCCGUUACGCAACCACUCAUAAGUGCUAAUGAAGUGCAUACACAAGUGUAAUUACCAAUCGAGUGGACUGCCCACUUUUCACUCGUAAUAUAAUCUAGUGAAUAAAAAAGAGUUGUUUCAUAAUGACAUGGCGGGGAAAAACGCAGCCGUCUCACGUAGAUCGGCGAUUACCAGCUGAUGGGUUCGCUGGAAGUUAACAUUAGAAUUUCUGUAAGCGUCCGUCAUAGCAUGUACUUAACUCCGUAUAAUUUUUAACAAUAGGAAUUUAUGUAGACGUAUCUUUAUAUCUUAUGGAUUACAUCUUGAAGAAACAAACUGUAGAAAAUAGAUUAAAAAUGUAUAAAACGCGCAGGACAUAUACACAGUAUUGAUGACGAA